GAGGAGCCCGCGCACGAUUAGCUAGUUGGUAGGGUAAUGGCCUACCAAGGCUUUGAUCGUUAGCUGGUCUGAGAGGAUGGCCAGCCACACUGGAACUGAGACACGGUCCAGACUCCUACGGGAGGCAGCAGUGGGGAAUCUUGCACAAUGGGCGAAAGCCUGAUGCAGCGACGCCGCGUGGGGGAUGAAGCUUCUCGGAGUGUAAACCCCUUUCGAUCCGGACGAAUGCCCGCAAGGGAGUGACGGUACGGAUAUAAGAAGCCCCGGCUAACUACGUGCCAGCAGCCGCGGUAAGACGUAGGGGGCCAGCGUUGUUCGGAAUUACUGGGUGUAAAGGGUUCGUAGGCGGUGCGGCAAGUCGGGAGUGAAAUCUCUGGGCUCAACCCAGAGGCUGCUUCCGAAACUGCUGUGCUUGAGUGUGGGAGAGGCGCGUGGAAUUGCAGGUGUAGCGGUGAAAUGCGUAGAUAUCUGCAGG
rnacentral:rRNA from 1 species